rnacentral:rRNA from 1 species
UACGAAGGGGGCUAGCGUUGCUCGGAAUCACUGGGCGUAAAGCGCGCGUAGGCGGCUUUUUAAGUCAGGGGUGAAAUCCUGGAGCUCAACUCCAGAACUGCCUUUGAUACUGAGAAGCUUGAGUCCGGGAGAGGUGAGUGGAACUGCGAGUGUAGAGGUGAAAUUCGUAGAUAUUCGCAAGAACACCAGUGGCGAAGGCGGCUCACUGGCCCGGUACUGACGCUGAGGUGCGAAAGCGUGGGGAGCAAACAGG